rnacentral:rRNA from 1 species
UACGGAGGGUGCAAGCGUUAUCCGGAUUCACUGGGUUUAAAGGGUGCGUAGGUGGGCAAGUAAGUCAGUGGUGAAAUCUCCGGGCUUAACCCGGAAACUGCCAUUGAUACUAUUUGUCUUGAAUACUGUGGAGGUCAGCGGAAUAUGUCAUGUAGCGGUGAAAUGCUUAGAUAUGACAUAGAACACCUAUUGCGAAGGCAGCUGGCUACACAAAUAUUGACACUGAGGCACGAAAGCGUGGGGAUCAAACAGG